UACGUAGGGGGCAAGCGUUGUCCGGAAUCAUUGGGCGUAAAGCGCGUGUAGGCGGCCUGAUAAGUCCGCUGUGAAAGUCCAGGGCUCAACCCUGGGAUGCCGGUGGAUACUGUCGGGCUCGAGUCCGGAAGAGGCGAGUGGAAUUCCUGGUGUAGCGGUGAAAUGCGCAGAUAUCAGGAGGAACACCAAUGGCGAAGGCAGCUCGCUGGGACGUGACUGACGCUGAGACGCGAAAGCGUGGGGAGCAAACAGG
rnacentral:rRNA from 1 species